rnacentral:rRNA from 1 species
GUGUAAGUAUAAGUAUUGUACAGACGAACUGACGAAUGGCUACUAAUUAAAACUAGUUAUUAGUUUAUUUGAUAAUCGAAAGUUACAUGGAUAACCGUGACAAAUUACAGCUAAUACAUGCAUCAAGACCUUAACCGGUUGUAAUUAUUAGUAUUAAACCAAUCCCUCACGGGAUGUGAUGAAUCAUAAUAAUUGAACGAAUCGCAGAAUUCUGCGAUAAAUCAUUCAAGUUUCUGCCCUAUCAGCUUUGGAUGGUAGUGUAUUGGACUACCAUGGCAAUCACGGGUAACGGAGAAUUAGGGUUCGAUUCCGGAGAGGGAGCCUGAGAAACGGCUACCACACCUACGGGAGGCAGCAGGGACGAAAAUUGCCCAAUCCUGAUUCAGGGAGGCAGUGACAAGAAAUAACAACUCCCAACUUUGUUGGGAAGUGUAAUGAGGAUAAUUUACAAACCUUACCGAAAGCAAUUGGAGGACAAGUCUGGUGCCAGCACCCGCGGUAAUUCCAGCUCCAAAAGCGUAUAUUAAAGUUGUUG